AGAAUUAGAGACAGCAGAAGGGCCACUAAUUAGCUGCUGUCCCUUUGUUUUCUCUCAG
ensembl:miRNA